rnacentral:rRNA from 1 species
UACGGAGGGGGCUAGCGUUGUUCGGAAUUACUGGGCGUAAAGCGCACGUAGGCGGCUUUGUAAGUUAGAGGUGAAAGCCCAGGGCUUAACCCUGGAAUUGCCUUUAAGACUGCAUCGCUAGAAUCGUGGAGAGGUAAGUGGAAUUCCGAGUGUAGAGGUGAAAUUCGUAGAUAUUCGGAAGAACACCAGUGGCGAAGGCGACUUACUGGACACAUAUUGACGCUGAGGUGCGAAAGCGUGGGGAUCAAACAGG